GACGAACGCUGGCGGCGUGCCUAACACAUGCAAGUCGAGCGGGAGUUUCCUUCGGGAAACUUUUAGCGGCGGACGGGUGAGUAACACGUGGGUAACCUGCCUCAUAGAGGGGGAUAGCCUCCCGAAAGGGAGAUUAAUACCGCAUAAUAACGAGAGAUCGCAUGGUUUUUCGUUAAAGGAGAAAUCCGCUAUGAGAUGGACCCGCGGCGCAUUAGCUAGUUGGUGAGGUAACGGCUCACCAAGGCCACGAUGCGUAGCCGACCUGAGAGGGUGAUCGGCCACAUUGGAACUGAGACACGGUCCAGACUCCUACGGGUGGCAG
rnacentral:rRNA from 1 species